UGGGUCUAAACUCAGCUGGGAGAGCGCAAUGCUAGCAGCGAUGCGCUCAGGGGUUCGAUCCCCCUAGGCUCCACCA
rnacentral:tRNA from 1 species